CCCUUAGAUGUUCUGGGCCGCACGCGCGCUACACUGAUGCAUUCAACGAGUCUAAAACCUGCUCUGAUAGGGGUGGGUAAUCUUUUGAAUGUGCAUCGUGAUUGGGAUAGAUGAUUGCAAUUUUUCAUCUUCAACGAGGAAUGCCUAGUAAACGCAAGUCAUCAGCUUGCGUUGAUUACGUCCCUGCCCUUUGUACACACCGCCCGUCGCUCCUACCGAUUGAAUGAUCCGAUGAAUAUCAUGGAUUGAGGAUGCAAGUAGGUUAGCCUAUCUUCAUCUUCGAGAAGUGAAGUAAAUCUUAUCAUUUAGAGGAAGGAGAAGUCGUAACA
rnacentral:rRNA from 1 species